GUCUUUUUGAUAAUAAUUUAAAGUCUAACCUGCCCACUGAAAAUUUUUGAAGGGCCGCGGUAUUUUGACUGUGCAAAGGUAGCAUAAUCAUUAGUCUUUUAAUUGAAGGCUUGUAUGAAUGGUUGGAUGAGGUAUUAACUGUCUCAAUUUAAUAAAUAAUAGAAUUUUAUUUUUAAGUUAAAAAGCUUAAAUAAUUUUAAAAGACGAGAAGACCCUAUAGAUCUUUAUAUAUUAAUUUUUAAUAAUUUUUUAGUUUAAAUUUAUUUUUAUUUGUUAAGGUAUUGAAUUGGGGUGAUUAAAAAAUUUAGUAAACUUUUUUUUAUUAGUUAACAAUGAUUUUUGAAUAGUUGAUCCAUUUUUUGUGAUUAUAAGAUUAAGUUACCUUAGGGAUAACAGCGUAAUUUUUUUGGAGAGUUCUUAUCGAUAAAAAAGAUUGCGACCUCGAUGUUGAAUUAAAGGUUAAUUUUAGGUGUAGAAGUUUAAAAUUUUGGUCUGUUCGACCAUUGAAUC
rnacentral:rRNA from 1 species